GAGAGAUCCCUUGCCCCUUCUACCAUGUGAGGACACAGCAAGAUGUUGGCAAUCUGCAACCCGGAAGAACCAGAGCAUGACCACGAUCUCAGCCUUCCAGCCUCCAGAACUGUGCACAGACAAGGAAGAGACCAUGAUGACCCCAGCAACAGAAAUAUGCAAAGAUGAGAGUGAAGGUUAGACAGGACAGAUGGGAUGAAGCUGUGUAGGAGGCAAGUGGGUUCCUGAAAGCGAUCACCAUACCUCUAGUGACUUCAGAGGAAUCAUGCAUCCCAGGCUUUGGCCGUGUGUCUUCGCAGGAUCUCCCAUUCAAGUGGGCAGUGUAUAUACUUCCUUUGCCCCCCUGACGUCGGGCUUGGCCAUGUACACUGAUUUGGCCAACAGAAGGUUGGUGGGUGUGAUGUGAGCAGAGGCUUUAAAUGUGCUUCUGUGACCUGGCUGGACCUCAUCUCUUCUUCCAUCUGCCAUGAGAAAAAUAUGCCUGUGGGAGCCACUAAGCCAAGGAGAAUGCGAAGUCACAGGAAAGACCCUGGACCCCAUUUGCAGCCCGAAUCCAAGCCCUGCUGAGCUCAGCUGAGCUCGGCUGCAAUCAGCCAAAGCUGGCCAAACCAUGACCCAUCAGUGAGGAGAAUAAAUGUUUAUUUUUGGCAAGCCACUGAGAUGCUAGGGCUGGUAGGACAGAAGGGAAAACUGACAAAUACAGAGGAGGAGGAAGUGCAUUCAGAUUUGCAGUAGUCUCCCAACCAGUCUUCUGGUUCUACCCCGGCUCCCCGACACCCUAUACUCCACUAGCAGCUAGAGCGAUCCUUCCAAAACCCUCAUUAAUCAAGGCAUUCCUUUGCUCAAACCCUCCAGUGGCUCCCAUAUCACUCAGAGCGAAAGUGAAUGUCCUUGUGAUGGGCCACCAUCCACACAUGGUCUGUCCACCUCCCCCCCUUUACCCCUCAGCCUCGACCUCCUUCCACUCUCCCACGUGCUCACUGUGCUCCAGCCACAUGGCCUCCCUGCUACUCGUGGGCCACAUCAGGGUACACCCUCCCUUGAGCCUUUUCUUGCUUUCUUCUUCCUAGAAAACACUUCCUUCGGAUAUCCAAGUGGCUAACAUCUUCGGCUCCUGUCUUAAAGCAGUGGAAUGAAUGGCACGGGAUGCUCUGAAAAGACUCCACACACACACACACACACACACACACACACACACACACACACACACACACACGCUCAGUGAACCAUAAUACAGUGUUAGUACAAAAAAUAGAUGUAAAGUAUCAUGGAACUGAAAAAUGGAGGGCAAUUAUUUCUUAGGUUGGGCGUGAAUUGCUGGUAAGGGAAAACUGCACUGAGAAGUUAAUACUUGAGUGGGGUCUUGAAGGGGUUUCUUAAAUGGACCAAACGGGGGAUAUUAUCCAAGCAGGGCACAACACAGGCAGCUGCUGUGUGCUCUCCAAAACUGCCGAUAAUUCUAGCCCUGAUGGCGUGCCCAGCCACUGUUCUAUGUGCUUUCUAUGCAUUAUCUCAUCUAAUCCUCACAGUGGCUCUGCAGAGGAGGCACUGAUAUGCCAUUCACAGAUGUGGUAACUAAGGCACAGGGUGGUGAAAUAGCCCGCCCAAGGUCACACUGGCAUUGACACUGGCUAGCAGAGCCAGGCUUCUGGCUCCAAAGCCCAUGCUCUUCACCCCGGCGUAUGCCCAUCCCAGUGCUCUGGGAAGGCUGGGUCCCAGUAUACACAGGGAGGAGAAGGAAUCGCAGCCAAGUCUGCUGGGAGCACUGCUCUGGCUUGGUCAAGGGCUCCACAAGGGCCAUUUAGGGAGCUUGAAGCUUGCUUUUUGGUCAUGAGAAAAGCCAUUGUGGGUUUUUAAGCUGGAAAGGGCUGUGAUGAGAACUGAGUCCUGAUGGUGACUCUGGAAUUGAGGUGUAGGCUAGAAAGGAGGUGAAACGGGCUGAAAGUUUCCAUGGUGAGGAGGAGGCGGAAGAGAGAGGGUGAGACCCAGGGCCUGAGGGCCUCUGGCUCAUCUCAAUGCCUGGUAUACAACAGGCGUCCAAUAAUGUUUGGUUAAAUAAACGUCUCAUCGUUGUCUUAGUUGGCUUGCCCCGGAAGCGGACUUUGAAAGAAGGGUUCCACUAUGAGAGGUUUAUUUAGGAGGCUACGUGGGGUGGGGGUGGGGGGACAUCUGGAGCUCAGUCCUGUGGGGCAGCUGUGGGGGACAGUGCAAAACACACCCUCAGAAUCAUCCCGGGAGGAAAGCGAGGGAGUUGGGUGUUCACAGACCGAUUCGGUUAGUAGUUGAGGGAUGCUGCUGGCGAGUGUUAAUUUCCUGGCACGGGGGCAGUAGAAGCGUGUCACUUGGGGAAGGAGAGGGAGGCACAGGGGUGUGGCUGGACACCCCUGGGGUGCACUGACCAUCAGGUGCGUACAGAUGGGGGUGAAUAGGGUCUGCUAUAAAAUCAAUCUUGGGCCAAAAAAGGGAAGAGUAGAAACUGAACUGUGAAACUUAUCCCCCCAUGGGCGUCCCACAGGCAUGUCCAACAUGGACACGGUCAUCUCCCUCCAACCCAAACUUGCUCUUGCCCAUGUGGUCCCCUUCUCAGGGAGUGACCCUCUUCCAUGCUUUCCUCCUCUUCACUUGACACUCGCCAUGUGCAAUCAAUCGCUAUUGUGCUGUUAGCACUGCCUCUUAAAUACGUCUGCAAACUGCUCUCUUCUCCUAACUCCACUGCUACCCCAUAGUUCAGGCUACCAUGCUCGCCCCUGAAUUACUGAAAUGGGCUCCCCACUGGCCUUUCUUGACCCCAGUCUUGAUCCUCACCCUCCACUCAGCUCUUAAAUCCAGCAUCCAUAUUCCAGGUGGACUGAGCUCCCUAUAAUACAAGGCUAAUUAUGUUCUUUCCCUGCUGACAAUUCUUUAAUAGCUCUCUACUGCCCUCAGAAAAUCAUCAAAACUUCCUCCUACCUGUGAAGCUCUAUGUCACCUCUCCUUUGUCCCUCCAGUCAGGAUGAAUUUUGUUUGGCUCCUGAACAUACCCUGCUCUCUCUUACCUCUGAGCCUUUGCUAAUGUUGUUCCCUCUAUCUGGAACAAUCUUCCCUUCUCCUCUACUUCAUUAACUCCUAUUCAGCCUUCAGGUCUCAGCUGAGAGGGCAUCUCUUCUACGAAGGCUGUCUGACCCUCUUUUCUACAUACAUGAUCCCCUGAAAUUAUUUUAUUAUAUUGCAAUUUCCUAUUGACUUGCCUCUUUCAAGAGAGUUGAGGACCCGCUGAAAGGUCUCUCUAGAUCAGGCUCAGCAAAUGUUUUCUAUAAAGAGCCAGAUGAUAAUUACUUUGGGCUUUGCAGACUCUAUGCUGCCUGUCACAGCUACUCAAUUCUACCGCUAUAGCAUGAAAGCAGCCAUAAACAAUACACAAAUGAAUGGGCAUGACUGUGCUCCAAUAAAGCUUUAUUUACAAAAACAGGCAUUGAGCCAGAUUUGGCCCAUGGGGCCACAGUUUGCCAACCUCUACUCUAAGUUGUCACUGUAUCCCUGGGCCUAGAAUGGUGCCUUACACAUCAGAAGCGCUCAAAUAUUUCUUGACUGAAGAAGGAACGGUUGAAUGAAAGUGAGCUCAGUGCUUUGUGACCACCUA